UACGUAGGGGGCAAGCGUUGUCCGGAAUCAUUGGGCGUAAAGAGCGUGUAGGCGGCCCGGUAAGUCCGCUGUGAAAGUCUAGGGCUCAACCCUGGAAUGCCGGUGGAAACUGUCGGGCUAGAGUCCGGAAGAGGCGAGUGGAAUUCCUGGUGUAGCGGUGAAAUGCGUAGAUAUCAGGAGGAAUACCGAUGGCGAAGGCAGGUCUCUGGGCUAGAACUGACGCUCAUGCACGAAAGCGUGGGGAGCAAACAGG
rnacentral:rRNA from 1 species